GGGCGUUAAGUUGCAGGGUAUAGACCCGAAACCCGGUGAUCUAGCCAUGGGCAGGUUGAAGGUUGGGUAACACUAACUGGAGGACCGAACCGACUAAUGUUGAAAAAUUAGCGGAUGACCUGUGGCUGGGGGUGAAAGGCCAAUCAAACCGGGAGAUAGCUGGUUCUCCCCGAAAGCUAUUUAGGUAGCGCCUCGUGAAUUCAUCUCCGGGGGUAGAGCACUGUUUCGGCUAGGGGGCCAUCCCGGCUUACCAACCCGAUGCAAACUGCGAAUACCGGAGAAUGUUAUCACGGGAGACACACGGCGGGUGCUAACGUCCGUCGUGAAGAGGGAAACAACCCAGACCGCCAGCUAAGGUCCCAAAGUCAUGGUUAAGUGGGAAACGAUGUGGGAAGGCCCAGACAGCCAGGAUGUUGGCUUAGAAGCAGCCAUCAUUUAAAGAAAGCGUAAUAGCUCACUGGUCGAGUCGGCCUGCGCGGAAGAUGUAACGGGGCUAAACCAUGCACCGAAGCUGCGGCAGCGACGCUGAUGCGUUGUUGGGUAGGGGAGCGUUCUGUAAGCCUGCGAAGGUGGCCUGUGAGGGUUGCUGGAGGUAUCAGAAGUGCGAAUGCUGACAUAAGUAACGAUAAAGCGGGUGAAAAGCCCGCUCGCCGGAAGACCAAGGGUUCCUGUCCAACGUUAAUCGGGGCAGGGUGAGUCGACCCCUAAGGCGAGGCCGAAAGGCGUAGUCGAUGGGAAACGGGUUAAUAUUCCCGUACUUGGUGUUACUGCGAGGGGGGGACGGAGAAGGCUAUGUUGGCCGGGCGACGGUUGUCCCGGUUUAAGCGUGUAGGUGUGUGUUCCAGGUAAAUCCGGUUCACUUUAACACUGAGGCGUGAUGACGAGGCACUACGGUGCUGAAGCAACAAAUGCCCUGCUUCCAGGAAAAGCCUCUAAGCAUCAGGUAACAUCAAAUCGUACCCCAAACCGACACAGGUGGUCAGGUAGAGAAUACCAAGGCGCUUGAGAGAACUCGGGUGAAGGAACUAGGCAAAAUGGUGCCGUAACUUCGGGAGAAGGCACGCUGACACGUAGGUGAAGUGAUUUACUCAUGGAGCUGAAGUCAGUCGAAGAUACCAGCUGGCUGCAACUGUUUAUUAAAAACACAGCACUGUGCAAACACGAAAGUGGACGUAUACGGUGUGACGCCUGCCCGGUGCCGGAAGGUUAAUUGAUGGGGUCAGCGCAAGCGAAGCUCCUGAUCGAAGCCCCGGUAAACGGCGGCCGUAACUAUAACGGUCCUAAGGUAGCGAAAUUCCUUGUCGGGUAAGUUCCGACCUGCACGAAUGGCGUAAUGAUGGCCAGGCUGUCUCCACCCGAGACUCAGUGAAAUUGAACUCGCUGUGAAGAUGCAGUGUACCCGCGGCAAGACGGAAAGACCCCGUGAACCUUUACUAUAGCUUGACACUGAACAUUGAGCCUUGAUGUGUAGGAUAGGUGGGAGGCUUUGAAGUGUGGACGCCAGUCUGCAUGGAGCCGACCUUGAAAUACCACCCUUUAAUGUUUGAUGUUCUAACGUGGACCCGUGAUCCGGGUUGCGGACAGUGUCUGGUGGGUAGUUUGACUGGGGCGGUCUCCUCCUAAAGAGUAACGGAGGAGCACGAAGGUUGGCUAAUCCUGGUCGGACAUCAGGAGGUUAGUGCAAUGGCAUAAGCCAGCUUGACUGCGAGCGUGACGGCGCGAGCAGGUGCGAAAGCAGGUCAUAGUGAUCCGGUGGUUCUGAAUGGAAGGGCCAUCGCUCAACGGAUAAAAGGUACUCCGGGGAUAACAGGCUGAUACCGCCCAAGAGUUCAUAUCGACGGCGGUGUUUGGCACCUCGAUGUCGGCUCAUCACAUCCUGGGGCUGAAGUAGGUCCCAAGGGUAUGGCUGUUCGCCAUUUAAAGUGGUACGCGAGCUGGGUUUAGAACGUCGUGAGACAGUUCGGUCCCUAUCUGCCGUGGGCGCUGGAGAACUGAGGGGGGCUGCUCCUAGUACGAGAGGACCGGAGUGGACGCAUCACUGGUGUUCGGGUUGUCAUGCCAAUGGCACUGCCCGGUAGCUAAAUGCGGAAGAGAUAAGUGCUGAAAGCAUCUAAGCACGAAACUUGCCCCGAGAUGAGUUCUCCCUGAGACUUUAGGUCUCCUGAAGGAACGUUGAAGACGACGACGUUGAUAGGCCGGGUGUGUAAGCGCAGCGAUGCGUUGAGCUAACCGGUACUAAUGAACCGUGAGGCUUAACCUUACAACGCCGAAG
rnacentral:rRNA from 1 species